rnacentral:rRNA from 1 species
CGAAUGGAGCGAGCGUUGUUCGGAAUCACUGGGCGUAAAGCGUACGUAGGCGGAUUGGAAAGUCAGAAGUGAAAUCCCGGGGCUUAACCCCGGAAUUGCUUUUGAAACUUCCAGUCUGGAGGCUCGGAGAGGUCAGCGGAAUUCCCAGUGUAGAGGUGAAAUUCGCAGAUAUUGGGAGGAACACCAGUUGCGUAGGCGGCUGGCUGGACGAGUACUGACGCUGAGGUACGAAAGCGUGGGGAUCAAACAGGAUUAGAUACCCUGGUAGUCCACGCCGUAAACGAUGUGUGCUAGUUGUCGGGGCCUUUAGGUCUCGGUGACGCAGCUAACGCUUUAAGCACACCGCCUGGGGAGUACGGUCGCAAGAUUA